UCUGCUGAUGUAAGCUCGUGUCCGCCUGACGUCAAUUUUUUUUCCUUUUUUAUUUUGGAAUAUAUGAAAGUAGCUAGAAAUUAUAGAAAAAUUCUUGGAAAAUCCUAUUGAUUGUAAAUUGUACAACAUUGGUUAUGCCAUGUUUAUUGUAUCUUAUUAAUUGUUAGAAAUACCUACAAAAAAGUGAAAAUUACUUUGUUACUUGUAUAAAUUUCUAAAAAAAUUGAUGAUGGUGAACAACUACGUGUCGUUGUAAAUAUUUU
rnacentral:lncRNA from 1 species